GAAAUGCGAUAAGUAAUGUGAAUUGCAGAAUUCAGUGAAUCAUCGAAUCUUUGAACGCACCUUGCGCUCCUUGGUAUUCCUUGGAGCAUGCCUGUUUGAGUAUCAUGAAAUCUUCAAAGUAAAUCUUUUGUUAACUCAAUUGGUUUCUACUUUGGUAUUGGAGGUCUUUGCAGCUUCACACCUGCUCCUCUUUGUUCAUUAGCUGGAUCUCAGUGUUAUGCUUGGUUCCACUCGGCGUGAUAAGUUAUCUAUCGCUGAGGACACUGUAAAAGGUGGCCAAGGUAAAUGCAGAUAAACCGCUUCUAAUAGUCCAUUGACUUGGACAAUACUUUUAUGAUCUGAUCUCAAAUCAGGUAGGACUACCCGCUGAACUUAAG
rnacentral:misc_RNA from 1 species